rnacentral:rRNA from 1 species
UACGAAGGGGGCUAGCGUUGCUCGGAAUCACUGGGCGUAAAGCGCACGUAGGCGGAUUGCUAAGUCAGGGGUGAAAUCCUGGAGCUCAACUCCAGAACUGCCUUUGAUACUGGCGACCUUGAGUCCGGGAGAGGUGAGUGGAACUGCGAGUGUAGAGGUGAAAUUCGUAGAUAUUCGCAAGAACACCAGGUGGCGAAGGCGGACUCACUGGCCCGGUACUGACGCUGAGGUGCGAAAGCG